UACAGAGGGGGCUAGCGUUAUUCGGAAUUAUUGGGCGUAAAGGGCGCGUAGGCGGCCAUGCGUGUCUUCCGUGAAAUCCCUCGGCUUAACUGAGGACGUGCGGAAGAAACUGCAAGGCUCGAGUCCGGGGAGAGGGGGGGGGGUGGAAUUCCCAGUGUAGCGGUGAAAUGCGUAGAUAUUGGGAGGAACACCAGGUGGCGA
rnacentral:rRNA from 1 species